UACGUAGGGGGCGAGCGUUAUCCGGAAUUAUUGGGCGUAAAGAGUACGUAGGUGGUUUUGUAAGCGUGGGGUGAAAGACCGAAGCUUAACUUCGGUUAGCCUUGCGAACUGCAGGACUUGAGUGCAGGAGAGGAAAGUGGAAUUCCUAGUGUAGCGGUGAAGUGCGUAGAUAUUAGGAGGAACACCAGUGGCGAAGGCGACUUACUGGACUGUAACUGACGCUGAGUCACGAAAGCGUGGGUAGCAAACAGGAUUAGAUACCCUGGUAGUCCCUGAGCGGG
rnacentral:rRNA from 1 species